rnacentral:lncRNA from 1 species
GAUUUCUCCCAUCCACGGUCAAAUCCAUAUCAGUAAAGCCCAACCCAUGGCUGGCAUGCACGUUGGAUACGACCGUCUCCAAUUGGUUAAUUGUAAUCUCUUGAGGAACAUAGGCUUUCUUCAAUAUUUUCAACAAAGCCUCCCUAUGCCCUUCUGAGCUCAGUAACAAUGAAAGAAUGGAGAUUUUGGACGGAGUCUGCUGCAAAUGAUCCACCAACUUAUACUCCGACUUCUUGAUUAUUCUCAGAAACUCUUCAGCUUCAUCAUCAAAUUUAUUAUCCGACCCCGCAGGCGCCGGUGUCAUCACAGGAGUACUACCAUUAUCCACCACAGCCUUACCCUUUGCCCUGGCUAAAGCCUCGGCCUUUUCUUUUUUCUCUUUUUCUUCCUCUCCCCUCCUCAAUGCAUCUGGAGCAAACAAUCUUCCACUGCGCGUGAAACCGCUGGGACCGGCAUUAUCCACCCUUAGCACGGUGGUCUCACUAGCAGUCUGUUCUUCAACCUUCUCACCGUUACAGUAGACCUCUCCCCCAUAAUGCCAAGGCACGGCAUCAUCUUUGUCAUAUGGAAUUGGCCCAGGUACCGUGAUGGUAACUGGAGCCUCCUCCACCAGGUUAGACAAAUCCACCGGAUCAUAGUAUAUAGUUAUGGUGGAGACCUCUUCCUUC